rnacentral:tRNA from 1 species
UGUAUUUUAGUUUAUGAUGAAUAAAAAUUUUUGGAAUUUUAGGGGAUAGUUUAAUUCUAUUAAGUGCAA